CAUGCAAGUCGAACGAUACUUAGAGGCUUGCUUCUAAGGAAAGUGGCGCACGGGUGCGUAACGCGUAUGCAACCUACCUUAAUCAGGGGGAUAGCCCGAAGAAAUUCGGAUUAACACCGCAUAAAAACACAGGAUAGCAUUAUCCAAUGUUCAAAUAUUUAUAGGAUUAAGAUGGGCAUGCGUGUCAUUAGCUAGUUGGCGGGGUAACGGCCCACCAAGGCGACGAUGACUAGGGGAUCUGAGAGGAUGACCCCCCACACUGGUACUGAGACACGGACCAGACUCCUACGGGAGGCAGCAGUAAGGAAUAUUGGUCAAUGGAGGCAACUCUGAACCAGCCAUGCCGCGUGCAGGAAGACAGCCCUCUGGGUCGUAAACUGCUUUUAUUCGGGAAUAAACCUACUUACGUGUAAGUAGCUGAAUGUACCGAAGGAAUAAGGAUCGGCUAACUCCGUGCCAGCAGCCGCGGUAAUACGGAGGAUCCAAGCGUUAUCCGGAUUUAUUGGGUUUAAAGGGUGCGUAGGCGGCUUAUUAAGUCAGGGGUGAAAGACGGUGGCUCAACCAUCGCAGUGCCCUUGAUACUGAUGAGCUUGAAUACACUAGAGGUAGGCGGAAUGUGACAAGUAGCGGUGAAAUGCAUAGAUAUGUCACAGAACACCGAUUGCGAAGGCAGCUUACUAUGGUGUGAUUGACGCUGAGGCACGAAAGCGUGGGGAUCAAACAGGAUUAGAUACCCUGGUAGUCCACGCCCUAAACGAUGAAUACUCGCUGUUAGCGAUAUACAGUUAGCGGCUAAGCGAAAGCGUUAAGUAUUCCACCUGGGGGAGUACGCCCGCAAGGGUGAAACUCAAAGGAAUUGACGGGGGCCCGCACAAGCGGAGGAGCAUGUGGUUUAAUUCGAUGAUACGCGAGGAACCUUACCCGGGCUUGAAAGUUAGUGAAUUAUCUAGAGAUAGAUAAGUGAGCAAUCACACGAAACUAGGUGCUGCAUGGCUGUCGUCAGCUCGUGCCGUGAGGUGUUGGGUUAAGUCCCGCAACGAGCGCAACCCCUAUGUUUAGUUGCCAGCACGUUAAAGGUGGGGACUCUAAACCAGACUGCC
rnacentral:rRNA from 1 species